rnacentral:rRNA from 1 species
UUGAAGUCAGUCGUACCCGCGAGAAAUCAACCUUUCGAGGGCGAUCCCGUGGAUGUUUGGGAGCCUUAACGGUCCCUACGUUUUCGGGUUUGUUCUUUUUUGGCGUACUUUCUUGCGCGGUAGGUUAACAUCAAUUUCGGACGUCAUAAAAUGAUCGGAGGAAUGUGGCUUCGAUUUUUUCGAAGUGUUUAUAGCCUUCGGUAGAUACGACGAACGGGAUUGAGGAUUGCAACGAAUACCUUUUAGGCUAUUCGUCUGAUCUCUAAUCGUUGCCUUGGUACCGAAAGCGUGCUUAUGGUCAUUGAGGUUGAUGGUUAAAAGGUUAGAACGAAUUACAUUCGUUAAGGAUGUUGACGUA